UUUCUCACCACUAAGCCAAUAUAUACUCAACUUGAAAGGUUCUUGAGAGACAACCUUAUGGACCAAUGCAUACCACCGUCGCCAUCAAAAUCUAAGGACAUACCCAAGGAAAGAACUAUUCAGGUUCUCACAUCAAGUUGCUUUUCAGUUGCUUAUAGGUAAAGGAGGUGAAAAUGAUCCAGAAGGUCAUCCAUUUCCAUUUUGCU